GCCGUUGUAGUAUAGUGGUUAGUACUUUCGCUUGUGGCGCGAACAUCCCCUGUUCGAAUCAGGGCAACGGCA